rfam:Blautia sp. CAG:237 genomic scaffold, scf168
GAAGACGACGAGGUUGAUAGGGCAGAGGUGGAAGUGUGGUAACACAUGGAGCUGACUGCUACUAAUAGGGUGAGGGCUUGACCAA